rnacentral:rRNA from 1 species
UACGGGGGGAGCAAGCGUUGUUCGGAUUUACUGGGCGUAAAGGGCGCGUAGGCGGCCACCGCAAGUCAGUUGUGAAAUCUCUGGGCUUAACCCAGAACGGUCAGCUGAUACUGCGGGGCUAGAGUGCAGAAGGGGCAACUGGAAUUCUCGGUGUAGCGGUGAAAUGCGCAGAUAUCAGGAAGAACACCCGUGGCGAAGGCGGCUCUCUGGGACGGUACUGACGCUGAGACGCGAAAGCGUGGGGAGCGAACAGG